AUCCGUUCCGAAGCUUGAGUGCAAAGGAAGCAGGGAACUAAUGAUGAAUAAGAAUGGAUGUCUUGAGGAUAACAAUGGAUAUGGCAUCUUCAAAAGCUGUGGCAUUCUGGUCCUAAUCUUCUGCAACUGGAUUUGUUCAAAUGGAUCUUGAUAGCCUGGGGGCCUGACAAAGUUCAUGGGACUCUGGUGACUGCAAGUUCUCACUCUGAAGAUCUGAUUGUAGGCCUGAACCAAAAUUUCUGUUUUGUUCUCCUGUCUAUUUGCUUCUUAAAUGAUGAAAGUUAUCCUUUAAAAUGGUGUUGUCUUUGAGUCUUAUGCACAUCCACUUCAGAAGUGUUCAGACACUGUGUGCUUGGGAUGUUUUCAGACAUUGUUAAAAUAUUUCAGUUCUGUUGUGUGCCUAAACCUCAUGAUUGCUCUGAUUAUUGUGUUCGUUUUUUACAUGUAGUGGUUCUCUACCUAUAAUGGAGGAGAUCAUCACCUGGGUUUUCAAUCAUUGUGGUAUUUCUCUUAACUCAGAUUUUUAAGUCACAGUAACUGUUGAAACUGUUCAGGUUAUUUUUAAGGAUUUUUGCUGGACAGAAAGUAUAAUUUAUUUUGCAAACUUGGCAGCCUAGUAUUACUGAAAGCUUUCAGUAUGAUGAUACUCUGAUGUAAUAAAAUAAGUAGGAAAAGACA
rnacentral:lncRNA from 1 species